GCAAGUCGAGCGGACAGAAGGGAGCUUGCUCCCGGAUGUUAGCGGCGGACGGGUGAGUAACACGUGGGUAACCUGCCUGUAAGACUGGGAUAACUUCGGGAAACCGGAGCUAAUACCGGAUAGUUCCUUGAACCGCAUGGUUCAAGGAUGAAAGACGGUUUCGGCUGUCACUUACAGAUGGACCCGCGGCGCAUUAGCUAGUUGGUGGGGUAAUGGCUCACCAAGGCGACGAUGCGUAGCCGACCUGAGAGGGUGAUCGGCCACACUGGGACUGAGACACGGCCCAGACUCCUACGGGAGGCAGCAGUAGGGAAUCUUCCGCAAUGGACGAAAGUCUGACGGAGCAACGCCGCGUGAGUGAUGAAGGUUUUCGGAUCGUAAAGCUCUGUUGUUAGGGAAGAACAAGUGCGAGAGUAACUGCUCGCACCUUGACGGUACCUAACCAGAAAGCCACGGCUAACUACGUGCCAGCAGCCGCGGUAAUACGUAGGUGGCAAGCGUUGUCCGGAAUUAUUGGGCGUAAAGGGCUCGCAGGCGGUUUCUUAAGUCUGAUGUGAAAGCCCCCGGCUCAACCGGGGAGGGUCAUUGGAAACUGGGAAACUUGAGUGCAGAAGAGGAGAGUGGAAUUCCACGUGUAGCGGUGAAAUGCGUAGAGAUGUGGAGGAACACCAGUGGCGAAGGCGACUCUCUGGUCUGUAACUGACGCUGAGGAGCGAAAGCGUGGGGAGCGAACAGGAUUAGAUACCCUGGUAGUCCACGCCGUAAACGAUGAGUGCUAAGUGUUAGGGGGUUUCCGCCCCUUAGUGCUGCAGCUAACGCAUUAAGCACUCCGCCUGGGGAGUACGGUCGCAAGACUGAAACUCAAAGGAAUUGACGGGGGCCCGCACAAGCGGUGGAGCAUGUGGUUUAAUUCGAAGCAACGCGAAGAACCUUACCAGGUCUUGACAUCCUCUGACAACCCUAGAGAUAGGGCUUUCCCUUCGGGGACAGAGUGACAGGUGGUGCAUGGUUGUCGUCAGCUCGUGUCGUGAGAUGUUGGGUUAAGUCCCGCAACGAGCGCAACCCUUGAUCUUAGUUGCCAGCAUUCAGUUGGGCACUCUAAGGUGACUGCCGGUGACAAACCGGAGGAAGGUGGGGAUGACGUCAAAUCAUCAUGCCCCUUAUGACCUGGGCUACACACGUGCUACAAUGGACAGAACAAAGGGCUG
rnacentral:rRNA from 1 species